ACAGUGCAACGGGACGAAUCAAUCGGUCGUGUGAAAGCAGUUAGGAUAAGAACGAUUUCGAGUUGAUUUCGUGUACGCGCGUUCAGCGUUUCCUUCGCCAGGUGUGCCAACAGUUGGAUGACAUACUUUCUGAGAUUGGAGUAACAUAACCAAAGUCAAAACGGAGAAUUGAAAGCGAUUUGCUCGGAAAGAUUUACUAUUUUGAACAUAUAUUGUGAAAUAAUGCAGGCUAUAAGAAUAAUGAACGCCAACACUUUGGCAAUGGGUACCACAGCACUCUGCGAGACUUUUGUUCCAAAUUCCAUCUAUACACAGUGCGUGCGUUGGAAGAGAAAACCAAUUUGGCUACCCUCAGCGAAAUCUAAAAUGUUUCGAAUACCAAAAAGACCUGUCAUACCUAUCGAGGAGGCAUUAGAGCUUCAACGUUUAAGUAAUAAUUAUAAGACAUAUGAGACAUCAUUUAGGGCAUAUUUAAAAAAAAUAGAGCAGGAGAAGAAGAUAGAAUCUGACAAGGUGGUUAACGAGCAGCUCGAAGAGGAGGAUUUUAAAGCGUGUAGCGCUAUAAAUGAUGAGUGGAAUGCGGAAGUGGCGAAAAAACGAGAAAUCAGGCUAGAGGAGAUGAGGGCAAAGCGCAGAAGCAAGAUCCUAGAGGUUUUAUUAAAAGUAGAGCAGAAACAGGAAAUGGAGAAGGCGAGGCUCAAUGAAUAUGUCAGAAAGACCAAGGAAGAAUCUGUCACAUUCAUCACCGCUGAAAACGUGGACGCCGCGAUCGAGGAAUGUCUUACAAAAAUCGUCAAUCAUAAUCGUGCGUUGGAUUUAGAAGGAAAUUGGCACGAAGGAAAGUAUCCUCCGGAUCCACCUCUCGAAGAGAUACAGAAAUCAGUGACCGUCGAGCAAGGAUGUUAAACUUGAAAAUUUGAUAUCUAGACUGCUCGGAAAAGUGAAAUUGAAGUUUACUAGACCUAUUCCAAGUAUUUUAAACUCUUGCUGGAAUAAUGAUGAUAAUCAAUUUUGUUGCAGAAAGUUGUGCAAAAUGCUCUGAAUAACAAUCCAUAUAUAAAAUAUUCGAAUUCAAAGGCACGGCUAAUUAAGGUACCGGUUAGUUAAUCAAAAACUUUUUCAUCCUUGUGGUAAGCUUACAGAGAGCUUACGGAAAAGUAUUCCAAGCAGUUUGUAUAAUUAGCGUAGCACGUCCAGAGCACCUCAUUAAAACUGCGCGACUCGAAUGCAACCCGGUUGUACCCACUACACGUAUGCAUAUACAUACAGGCGACUGCCUGCUACUGCUGCUAUUUAUCUGCUUCCCUUUAACGCACUUCAAGUGCAGUCUUUCGCGAACAGCGCGCCAACUCGCAUCACCGAUUUCACCCUCUCUGUUCUAGAGGCGAAAAGAAACGGAAAAAAAA